rnacentral:tRNA from 1 species
AUUAUUUUGGCAGAUUAGUGCGUUAGAUUUAGGAUCUUUUUAUGUAUUUUUACAAAUAAUA